AUUGAACGCUGGCGGCAGGCCUAACACAUGCAAGUCGAACGGUAACAGGAAGAAGCUUGCUUCUUUGCUGACGAGUGGCGGACGGGUGAGUAAUGUCUGGGAAACUGCCUGAUGGAGGGGGAUAACUACUGGAAACGGUAGCUAAUACCGCAUAACGUCGCAAGACCAAAGAGGGGGACCUUCGGGCCUCUUGCCAUCGGAUGUGCCCAGAUGGGAUUAGCUAGUAGGUGGGGUAACGGCUCACCUAGGCGACGAUCCCUAGCUGGUCUGAGAGGAUGACCAGCCACACUGGAACUGAGACACGGUCCAGACUCAUACGGGAGGCAGCAGUGGGGAAUAUUGCACAAUGGGCGCAAGCCUGAUGCAGCCAUGCCGCGUGUAUGAAGAAGGCCUUCGGGUUGUAAAGUACUUUCAGCGGGGAGGAAGGGAGUAAAGUUAAUACCUUUGCUCAUUGACGUUACCCGCAGAAGAAGCACCGGCUAACUCCGUG
rnacentral:rRNA from 1 species